rnacentral:rRNA from 1 species
CACGGGGGGAGCAAGCGUUGUUCGGAAUCACUGGGCGUAAAGGGCGUGUAGGCGGUCAAGUAAGUGGAAUGUGAAAUGCCCCGGCUCACCCGGGGACCUGCAUCCCAAACUGCUUGGCUUGAGUAUGGGAGAGGAUGAGGGAAUUCCUGGUGUAGCGGUGAAAUGCGUAGAUAUCCGGAGGAACACCGGUGGCGAAGGCGGCUUACCUGGACCGACACUGACGCUGAGGCGCGAAAGCUAGGGAGCAAACGGG